CGCAUGCGCUGUAUGCUGACACUCUCGCUCGGCUGCAUUCGGAUCGCGCUCGGCUAUUUCCGUCUCUUUGUUUUAAACUCCGAGUCGGAACUUGGGUGGGGGAAGGGAGAUAUAUUUUUCCUCGUUUUUUUUUUUUCCGACAGGAGAAGGGAAAAAAUAAAAGAGGAACUGUGAGGAAAAGGGGGGGGGGGAAAUCAACCUUCCCCCGAAGAUAAAAGAUCCCUGCCCCUCCUCCCAACGGCUGGAUACAGUGUUGCUCCUCCUUUCUCCUGCCGCCGUUGCUGUCGUUUGCUGACAGGUGCUAUGAAUGUGCAAAGACAUACUCACUUUCUAGUCCCUUUAUGAAGUGGUCUCUGGAUGGCAGACUCUGAAAAGAAAUGCAGUUUUAAGAGAUACCAAAGAUGCUGACUAGAAAGAUUAAGCUUUGGGACAUUAAUGCCCAUAUAACCUGUCGUCUGUGCAAUGGAUACCUGAUUGAUGCCACCACUGUAACAGAAUGCUUACAUACUUUCUGUAGAAGCUGCUUGGUGAAGUAUUUGGAGGAAAACAACACCUGUCCAACAUGUAGAAUUGUUAUACACCAGAGCCAUCCAUUACAGUAUAUUGGUCAUGAUAGAACAAUGCAAGAUAUUGUUUACAAACUUGUGCCAGGCCUCCAAGAAGCGGAAAUGAAAAAGCAGAGGGAAUUCUACCACAAACUGGGUAUGGAAGUACCAGGGGACAUCAAAGGGGAGACAUGCUCUGCAAAGCAGCAUCUAGAUUCACAUCGCAAUGGUGAAACUAAAACAGAUGAAAAUUCAAACAAAGAAACUUCUGAGGAAAAACAGGAAGAAGAUAAUGACUAUCAUCGAAGUGAUGAACAGGUAAGCAUCUGCCUAGAAUGCAAUAGCAGCAAAUUACGUGGAUUGAAACGAAAAUGGAUUCGCUGCUCAGCACAAGCAACGGUCUUGCAUCUAAAGAAGUUCAUUGCUAAAAAACUUAACCUUUCUUCUUUUAAUGAGCUGGAUAUAUUAUGCAAUGAAGAGAUUCUUGGCAAGGACCACACACUCAAGUUUGUAGUUGUUACUAGAUGGAGAUUUAAGGUUACUCAUUAAGGCUUGAGUUCCUACACUUACGAAAAUCCCUCCUUUAUCUGAUCCUAUCUCCGCCAGUGUUCCAUACCUACAGGUAAUUUCCUUAAAUGGUAUUUUUACAGUUACAGUGGCUGUAUUCCUUUUAGUGGGAAAAGCUUCAAACCAUCCUGAAAAGAUAUCUAUGAUGACAAGGAGAUACUGAUAUCCUUCUUUAGUUCAUGGAAGUUUAUAUAAUCCAUUUGCAGUAUUUUCCAGGAUUCAUGGCUUUUCUGAUGCAAUAGAGGUGGCAACUUAGUUUUACUAGUUUGCUUUUGUAUCAUUGCAUAUCUCAUGCAGUUUUUAAUUAUGUGCUCAAUUUCUUGCUUCAUUUGUUGCCAAAUAUAAAUUCCUUGCGCUCUUUUUAGAGUGCCCUGUACUUCUUCACGUAACAUAUUAUGAUAAUCUAAGAUGAUUUGUUCUCUUUCAGAUGGCCCUUCCUUCUUAUCUUUUACCUGUUUCUUGGUUUGAACUGCAGCAAUUACUGAGACAACUUGAUCAUUAAACUGUUUCUCAGUAUUGUUUUCAGUCUUCUCAUGUGCUUUAACAUGCUUAACAUGUUUUAUUCCCACUGUCUCUCUGAGCUUGUAAAACGAACCUCUGAUUUUCUUUAAUCACUAUUGGUGCUUUCCAUCCCCCUUUCUCCCAGUCAUACAUCUAGUAUUUUAUUCCAUUAUUAACAUAAUCACUGUUCAUAAAGAGAGAUAAUGGGUUCUGUUUAGAGGGUUUAUGUCUUUUAAUAACUUCUAUGGUAGGCUGUACUUCUGCUGUUUGGGAUGAUCCUUUCUCCAUUUUUCCUACUAUUUAUUCUCCCAUUCUAUUAACAGCAACAUAUUGGACUAUUAUUUUUCCUUAUUCAUAUCUACCACUCCUGUCAGUGAACCACACCUUUAGUUUAUUACUGGGUUCCUUUAAAAGGACAUCCACAUCAAUAUCCAUUUCUUCUUUCCUGAGCAAUUACUCUUUGUUCACAACUGUGAUCCACACCUUGUUCAAUUAAGGCAUGAGUGAAAAGAUCCAGUUGUUGUAACAGUUGUACAGUACCCCCCCAAUUCAUUAAUACUAAUGCCCACUGUGCCAUCUGGAUAGAUAAUAGUCUGGUGCCUACUAAUUUCCCUGGAAUUAUGUAGUUUAGAGGGAUAUGAGUAGAUUGGAUUACAACUGGACUAUCAAGGGCGAAAGCCUCAAAGACCGUUACAGCCCAGACUGCUGCUAAAUAGUCUUUCUCAGAGCCAGAGAAUUUUUGUUUUGGACCCUGAAGAGGAUGUGGCUCAUACGCUGCUUGUGCCCACUUUACCCACUUUUUUUUUUUAAUGGUACUGCUCCCAUGGAAUCAGCCAGAGCUUUUAAAGCAACUUCUUUCGGUUUAGUUAAAGCAUCAUGUUCCAUGUUCCAGUUCCAUCCCUGAUUCUUUUUCAGUAAUUUCCAUGAUGGUUUUCUGAUACCAACAAAGCUAUGGAUAUGCUGCCAUAAGAAAUUAAAUUCUCCUUCAUUCUGUUCGAAGUUGGGACUGAUAUAUUUCACACAAAGCUUUAAUCUUUCUUGCAUCUAUCUUUCUGUUUCCCCAAUUACAAUUCCCAAGCAGUUAACCUGGGGUUGCACUAAUUGAGCCUUCUUCAACUUGACUUUAAAUCCUGUUUGGUCUGUUAAUUUUAAAACUCAGAUAUUUCUCUCUCGCACCUCUUCUGUAGCUCCAGUCACUAGAAUAUCAUCCACAUAACUUUUCUGCAUUGUGAAACACCCACAGUACCUAAGUAAAGGUAUAUUGUUUGUCUCUAAAUGUGAAAGCAAAUCUUUAAAUUGAUUCUUCAGUAAGUGGAUAGCAAUGAAACAGAUAUGUAACUGAAAACCACUUGUUAUUUUCUAGUAACUUAGCAAUAAUCUCAGGCAUGCUUGCUACAAUAGGAGCCAUCCUCAGGGUGAACUUAUUUAUCUGAUAAUAGUCUACCAUCAUUCUCCAGGAUUUUCAUCAGCCUUCCUAGCAGGACAUAACAGAGAAUUAUAUUUUCCAGGACCCUGAGGGCACUAAUAGGUCUUAGUAGCCCUGACCAGCUUUACCGGAGGCCUCCACCCACAUCCUCUGUCCAUGGGCCCAGGAGCCCCAGUUUAGCUCAGCCCUGGGCCUGCAGUCCCUGCCUGAGCUGUUGUAGGAGUACCGGUCUCCAGCUCAGCCAUAGCCAUGCCCAUGCCUGGCUGCGGACCCUGUUGGACAAUUGGAUUUAAUGCACUCAUCAAAAAUGGUGUAUACCUUUAGUGACUGGUGUACAUUUUUGGUAAAAGUUGGGUGUAGUACAAGCUCUGAUAUAUUUACCUAUUUCAUUCCCAUUUAAUUCCAAGUUUGAAGCAGUUUCUAGAAGUUCCCCCUUCCAAUCCACAAUUGUGCUUUCUUUCAGUGACCCAAGAUCUGCAUCUAGCUGUCUCACAUCCCCUGGUGUGUGUGUGUAUUUAUUUAUUAUUAUUAUAACAGCAACAGCAGGUUUACCUGCUUUACCUCCCUGUCCUUGUAGUUGUAGAUCCUCUUUCAUUUCCCAUUCAUACACAUCAUCCCCAAAAUCAUCUUCCUCUGGUCCCCCAUCUAAUUCUGUCACAGAUACAACAGCGCUUUUUUGCAUCCUGAUCUGCUUUUUCAAGUAUCCAGUUUUAGCUUCAUGUUUAUUAUGAUCAGGUCCCAUUGGAGCUCUCCCUUGCCCUAUGUUGUACUAUGCAUGUUAAUUCCUCUACUUGGUUGUUCAGUUUUUCUUUCUCUUUUUCUGAAUUCACCUGAUUGUCUAAUUCCAGUUGUAUUACCUUAUGAUGUUUUUGAGCUGCUAGAUAGUACUCCUUUUCUAAAGACAAACUUGCUUCAAGUUUCUCAAUAGUUUCUUUUAAAACACAGUUUUCAGAAUGAAACAAUUGAUUUUCUGCUGUUACAUUGGCUCAAUUGGUGCAAAAUGUUUUAGCUGCUUCCCAUAUAAGUCCCACUAACACAGGAGGUGUAUCCUCAAGUUUCAUUUCAUAUGCUCUGCAAUAAUUGAACAUUUGUUCUAUAUCAUCCCUUGUCCUAUGGGCUGAAGUGAUGCAUCCCUCCCUCUGUGGAGAGGUACCUGUAGCCCAUACUGUAAUCUCCAUCGUGGUUGGGUCUUCCUGUAGCCCUUUAAUAUCCUCCUUUUUAGUAUUUUCCCAAGCUUUCAAUUUUGUUUUAAGGUUCCCCUUAAGCAUUGCGCACAAUGAUAUUACAACAGACCAGUCAGAUUUAUAGAAUCAUCUUGCAAGUACAACCAGUGUUCUCAAAAAGAUCACUCAGAAGAAAAAGAAUUUGGUUAUGACCUGUGUUCUCCACCAAAAGAUGUUGUCAGUUCUCUUUUCCCCAAUAGGAGAUCGAGUCAGAGGAGACACAGAUCACAACCAAUAUUUAUUAGAACACCUUUUAUGAAUUAAGCUGUUGUUAAUAUUAACAGCUUGAUUUUAUUAAUACUAAUAGUAGAUAAGUGAAUGUACUGUGUGACUAAUUCUUUCCUCUUGCACAGUUUACUCACACACACUCACUUGUUACUGGGAUGGAGCAAAAGCAGGGAGGCCAACCCCAGCUGUGUACUUAGAAGCAGAGGGUCAUACUGACAUGCCAGUGGCUUCCAGAAAGCACCUCUACUUCUACAUUACAGACCCAAAAUGGACUUGCUGUAAGAGAACUUUAUUGUCCUUGUGGACACAGUUUUUUGCAGAGACGAUCAUCUGGCACCUUAGUGCAGCACUUAACUCUCACAUGACGCAAACCAGCAGAAUCACUUUGGAAGACUGUAGUGCUUUCAUAGCAGAGUGUCCUUCUGAAUAUUUCUUAUAGGAACAUGCUGCCCAGAUUUUUGGACAAAAAUAUUUAUACUUUUUUUUGUACAAAUGAAAUAAAUUACAACUCAACAAGACUCUACCAGCACUAAGUUUACAGAUAGUGAAAACACUUCACAGUUCCAUGGAGCUCAGCCUGAUUCAUCUCUUUGUAGUUACACAAAAAUAAGUUUAAAAUGUUGUGGGAGUGAUUUAAAAUGUUACUUUUAACACCAAAUUACUACAUUUAGGGGUUUUUUUGUCUUGAAACUUUAAAACUUAUUUCAGCAUGUUUUUCCAAGGUGUUCUUGUUUUAUGUAGUAUGCCCAGUUAUGUCAGCUUUAAUCAAGCCAUCUAUAGAACAUUGAACAUAGCUAAUGAUAUAGUGAUUGGUGAUAUUUAUUAUGCUGCAUUAAAAACUUCCUAAAAACCUAGAGAUCCAAUAGCUUCAUUAGUUUUGCACAAUGUUUGUUUUCCUUUAUUUUGUAUUUCAGUAAUGUUUUGAUACUCUCCCUUUGUAUGUUGAUUUGAGUUUAACAGAAAUUAGUUCACUUGAUUUUUAAUAUGCCUUAAUAUUUUGCCAUGGCAUAAAUUGCAUCAGAUCAUAACAAAUACUCAGAAGUGCUGAAUUUGUGAAAUUGUUUUAAAGAAAAUGUGUCAUAUAAUUGGGGCUUGCAAAAAUCAAAUUUUACUUUAGGGAGAAUUUGCUGUUUCAUUAGCUGUUGAAACCAUGGCUGUUGGGCAAUUUUUGUUGAUACAGGAUAAGUUUCCAUUUCACUAGCUAAAAAUUCUUCAGUUAGUUGCAAACCAAUGCUGGGUUUCUUUUACUGGUUUCUUUAUGAAACCACAGCUUUCUUUAGCGCAAUUACUAGUUAGCUUGGAGGUCAGAUUACAUAUUACAUUACAGGGGCACCUUCUGGCCUUAACUGAUAAUUUUGCUUGUGUCAAGCCCUGAGAGAUGCAAACUACCAUAUGUGUAUGUGUGUCUGUGUACACAUGCGCACACACCUUAGAGAAUCCACCUUCCGUAGUGCUUAGCAGGGUGUUGACUGCAUUGCUUGGAAGGCUUUUUAAAAUAGUCAGCUUUAUAAAAAUGUGAUAGUAGUUGAAAGUGAUUUCUGCAAGUUGUAUAGCAUUAUAUAUAGCAUGGAUGUGAGUGUGUCUGACACGGGGUCUCAAGUCACUGAAAGGAAGAUAUGCAGUAUUAUUGGCAGCUGGAGGCUAUUAAUUUUCUAACUCUUCUAAGAGUUUUUCUGUCAGCUGAAAAUGGCAGUUGUUACAUUUUUUUCUUCCAUAAAAUACAUUUUUAUUCUUCCAUAAAAUGUCAAUGGCUAAGAAAAUCAGUAUGCCUGUUACCACUGUCCUGCUUCCUCCAGCUGUGUCCCCCUCCUCUGCAAGAAAGCAUUGCUUAAUGUUACUUGAUAAUAGGAGGUUGAUCCCACAAGACAAUUAUUCAAGUAUUGCAAGUCCUAUUGCCUCUUCUCGAGUUCUCCAAGCACCGCAUUCCUUUGCAUGUCUCCCAUGCUUUUCUUAAUUGGAAUUUUCAGUUCCUCUUUCCUAGUUCUGCUGCCAGAGGGAAGUUCACUUGUUUGUCUUUGGAAACAGGGUUCCUUGUUUUAAGUUAUAGCUAUAGAUGUGAAUGGUGAGGAAAUAAAAAGAAAUACAAAGAAAGAAAAAGAGCCUACUGAACUAUGGGGAUGGUCAAGAGAGCCACAGUAAGGUCAGUGAAGUACUGCCAUCUCUGCGAACGAGGACAUGAGACCACUACAUUUGAACACCUAGGUUAGACAGGACUUCUUCACAUCAAGACCUAGACUGUGUGUGUGUGAUAGAAUUAGAACUUUGCUCUGGUUUUGCUGUACUGUUUCUGGACUCUCUUAUCUGCAAUUUAGCUUUUAUCUAUUUUUAGCAUUAAUAGAAGUGGCAGAAGAGGACAGGUGAGAUCUAUUUAGUCUAUAUUUUUGGGGGUAAUUUUUCACAGAACAGUGAAUGCAGGUGAUAUGGAUGUGUACACAAAUUGUCAUAAUAGGCCUUUCUGGAGCUGUUAAUGUAGCUAUCAUUGCACAUUUCCAAGUGUGAAUCAGGGGCUGGUUCUAGUUGAUGAGCCCCCCAGAGAGUGCAAAUAUGGUUAUAAACAUCCAUCCUCCAUGCACCUCAAAUGUACAGAUACUGGGCUAUACCUGACGUAGACAUGGAAAUCAAGCCCAUAGACUAUGUAAAUGCCUAAUUAAUUAUUCAGCUGCAGUCUAAGGGUUUAAUAAAUAUAUAUAUUAUAUAUAUAUUUGUGAUUAGUCUACCUCAGUAUAUGUACACUGUGGAAACAUUGUAACAUCAGAUGUUGAUGCAGUGCUAUUGAAGUAUAUUGGGAUUUUAAUAUUUUCCUGUGUAGUUGUACAACUGAAAAGAGGUUAGCAGUUACAAGCAUGUAAAUUCAGAAAGCUCUCUGCCAUUCAGUUUUAAGUCUUGCUGUUACAAUCUACAGUACAGAAUAUAUAUUUGCAAGUUUGUAACUACCUUUGGAAUCACUUGAAUUUGUUAUGGUGCUAUAUCAAUAUAUUUAAAUCUGUUGAUAUCUAUAUAGGUACACAUCUGUAGCCAGUGUUGACAUUUAUAGCUGGUUAUUGCUCAUAAUUGUGUGCAACUGCUUUUGUAAUGUGUUUAAACCUGAUAAAACCUCAACAGUGUUAAAAAAAAAAACAACAAACAAAGUACAAAAAACCCAAACUCCAAAACCCUAUUUUUCUAAAUCAUAUGUCACAAUAUCUUCAUUACAAAACCUAUUUCCCAUGGGGAGGGAUGGAAUGAUGUCUGCACCAUUCAUUUAUUUUCUAGCUUUAUAGAAAGACUAGACUACAACUGAAUUCAAGUCAGAGGCAGGCCUUGGGGUCAAAGUCCUAUUUCACUUCUUUGAAGCUUAAGAAACAGUUGAUUUAAUGUCAAGAUUAUAUUGGGUAAAAAAGUAAUGAUUGUUUUACUUUUUUAUAUUUAAAUCUGAAAGUUGGGCUCUGUAUAGAUAUUUCUUGAUUCCUGCUGAGGUCAUGAUCAAUUUAUUUUGGUUUUAAUGAAGAUAGCAUUACUGUGAAGUAAUUUUCACAGCUGCUUACACUGGUAAAUAAUUGCAGUAAAAGGUAUCUUUUUGCAUUAUCCUCAGCAGCAAUGAGACUGAAUUACCCCAGACUCAGAGUCUCACUAGGUAUAAUUUUCAUUAAAAAUAGAUAAUUCAGAUAAAAUAUAUAAUAUUGAAUUUAAAUAAGAUUUGGGAGCUUUAAAAAGUUAAAUUUAUAAAAAAUAUUUAUUAUAUUAAGCAUUCUGUCUUAUUUUAUCAUCCAAAUAUUUUUGUUUUCAGUGGUCCAGCUUUAUUUACAGGCAUAUAAAAUUGUAAAAUGUUUUUACAGCUUCUUCCUUUUAUAUUGAGUUUGAAUGGCUUUUAUUUGUAUGUCUUUGUUAUAUAUGGAUAAAGAGCAUUACUUAAGCUUUUGUGCAAUGGAUCCAAAACAUGCAUUUAUAAGGCAUAAGUUUAAAUUGUAAAUGUAGCAUCUACUUCUAAAUUGAAAAGGAACGUAGAUGGGUUUUUUCAUAUGUACAUUCAAUGGGUUUUUGUUUGGGGUUUUCAUUUGUUUGGGGGGGAGGGGUUGCAUUUUUUUAUAAGAAUUAAGUUUGGGAUUUUAUGGGAUUUUAAAAUGUGUAACUGCAAGAACUACCCAUCAGCAAUAUUUUAAAAUAAAUGAUCUGGCAAGAAACUUUAAUGUGAAUUGUGGAAGUAAUCUGCAAGAAAUAGCAGCCUAUCUGAAAUUCGUUUGUGCCAUUGUUAUGUCUGGUAUCUUUGUGUAUCAUCUAACCUUGGAAUAUUUAUUUUUUAUUGGUUGUGCAAUAGUAUACACAAUGCUAUUACCUCUGGGAAUAUGGGACUGCAAAAAUAUCAGACUACAACUAUGAUGGUGCUAUUUUUUUUCAAUAGACUAUGAGCCUUUGAAAGCUUAUAUGGCUCUUGUUAUAACAGCAUAAUUAGUCUUAGGAGAUUCACUAUUUUGCUUUGUUUUUUUCCUACUGGAUGGUAAAUGUAACUAUACAGCUAGCCUAUUUUACAAUAAUAUUAAUCUUACCAUUGAGUUAAAUAUAAUAGGAAAGAGCCAAAUAGUCUGUACAUCAACACGUUAAUCUUAAUAAAUGUGUUUUCUCAGCAGUACUUAAGAAAUGUAUUUAGUACAUAAGGCUGAGUGGAAAAAAAAAUCUAGUUUCUGUAUUUCCUCAGGUAAUCAAUUCAGUUUGGAUGUUUCACCAGAGAUGUUAAUGCAACCUACACUUCAGUCCCUCUGCCUGAAGUUAAUGACAAGAAAAAUUGUCAUACAGGCUAAAAUCUUUGCAUAAGAUGCACUUAACUGUAAUUGAGAGAUAUUGACUUUGGUCUCUUUUAAAGGUGCAGAGAGAGCAUUAAGGUGUGUAACAUUAGCAUGGAAAAAUACUUUAAUGUCUGCUUUCAUCAAAAUCUGUAAUCAGGUACAGACACUCUCUAGAUACCUGCCUUUUGUGGCAAGCCAACAGUCACAUUUUUACAAUGGAGUUGUGAUAUACCUAUAUACAAAUUAAAACUCCACUCUUGCUGUUUGAUCCACUUGAGUGGAUCCUUAAGGUUUCUUGGAAAUCUUUUGAAGCCAUAAUGACCUGCUGAGACCAGAUUGCAGGACAGAGACUAAAAGCCCAAUUCUGCAAACUCUUAUAGUGGUAACUUUAUUGCUAACUUGGAUGGUUCCACUGAAACCAGUGGAAUUAUUCAUGUGGACAAAGUUGCUUAAAUGUGUGUCUGCAAGAUGGAGUCCUAAUUUUUGAAGGAUGGACUGAUGUUUCUGUAUCUUUUUUAACUUAAAACAUUGGUUUAAUAGUGUCCUUUUAUCCAAGUAAUUUAACUGGGCAAAAGGAGAGUUUGUUCUUUCUUUCUGCAACAACAUUAAAUUAAGGUUAUGGGACAAUAAGUCAGUGUGAUCACUAAACCUUUAUCCUAUAUGGCAUAAUAAAGAUACUGAAACUAUCACAGUGUAGGACCAUAUUUUUUACUUGGUUUCACUUCAGAGUUUACAUUUUUAUGCUUUGUUUCCUGUGUGAUUUUUGUACUAUUGGUGGCUAGUUUUUGUCCGAAUAAGCCUUUUGGGAUUAUUGCUUAAUAUUUUGAUUUUAUGAUAGCGAAGCUUGUAUCCAGUGUUUUGCCAAAUAAUAUUAUAUGCUUGUUAAUAAAAGUAAAAAAGCUAACUGAAA